rnacentral:rRNA from 1 species
UACGAGGGGGGCGAGCGUUGUUCGGAAUUAUUGGGCGUAAAGGGUGCGUAGGCGGUUUGGUAAGUCUUAUGUGAAAUCCCCGGGCUUAACCUGGGAAUUGCAUUUGUGACUGCACGGCUAGAGUGUGUCAGAGGGGGGUAGAAUUCCACGUGUAGCAGUGAAAUGCGUAGAUAUGUGGAGGAAUACCGAUGGCGAAGGCAGCCCCCUGGGAUAACACUGACGCUCAUGCACGAAAGCGUGGGGAGCAAACAGG